CCUACGGGAGGCAGCAGUAGGGAAUAUUGCUCAAUGGGGGAAACCCUGAAGCAGCAACGCCGCGUGGAGGAUGAAGGUUUUCGGAUUGUAAACUCCUUUUGUUAGAGAAGAUAAUGACGGUAUCUAACGAAUAAGCACCGGCUAACUCCGUGCCAGCAGCCGCGGUAAUACGGAGGGUGCAAGCGUUACUCGGAAUCACUGGGCGUAAAGAGCGCGUAGGCGGGAUAGCAAGUCAGAUGUGAAAUCCUAUGGCUUAACCAUAGAACUGCAUUUGAAACUGUUAUUCUAGAGUAUGGGAGAGGUAGGUGGAAUUCGGGGUGGAGGGGGAAAAUCCGGAGAGAUAAAGAGGAAGACUCAUGGCGAAGGCGACCUGCGAGAACAUAACUGACGCUGAUGCGCGAAAGCGUGGGGAGCAAACAGGAUUAGAUACCCGUGUAGUC
rnacentral:rRNA from 1 species